rnacentral:rRNA from 1 species
AGCUACCGCUAUUGGAGUUCGAUUAAGCCAUGCGAGUCGAGAGUCUUAGGGACUCGGCGCACCGCUCAGUAACACGUGGGUAACCUGCCCUAUGCUGGGGGAUAACCUCGGGAAACUGAGAAUAAUACCCCAUAGUUCACCACGCCUGGAACGGUGGGUGGAUCAAAGCUCCGGCGGCAUAGGAUGGGCCUGCGACGUAUCAGGUUGUAGGGGGUGUAACGUACCCUCUAGCCAUCAACGCGUACGGGUGUUGGGAGACAUAGCCCGGAGAUGGAUUCUGAGACACGAAUCCAGACCCUACGGGGUGCAGCAGGCGCGAAAACUUGGCAAUGCGAGCAAUCGUGACCAGGGAACUCCAAGUGGCUGGGGUAAUACCCAGUUUUUUCUUGACUCUUCAAAGGUCUUGGAAUAAGGGGUGGGUAAGGACGGUGCCAGCCGCCGCGGUAAUACCGGCGCCUCAAGUGGUAGUCGCUUUUAUUGGGCCUAAAACGUCCGUAGCCGGUCUGGUACAUUCGUGGGUAAAUCAACCCGCUCAACGGGUUGAAUUCUGCGAGCACGGCCAGACUUGGGACCGGGAGAGGUGUGGGGUACUCUCAGGGUAGGGGUAAAAUCCUGUCAUCCUGAGAGGACCACCUGUUGCGAAGGCGCCACACUAGAACGGAUCCGACGGUCAGGGACGAAACCUAGGGGCACGAACCGGAUUAGAUACCCGGGUAGUCCUAGGUGUAAACGCUGUGGACUUGAUGUUGGGGGCGCUCCGAGCGCUCUCAGUGUCGAAGCGAAGGUGAUAAGUCCACUGCCUGGGGAGUACGGUCGCAAGGCUGAAACUUAAAGGAAUUGGCGGGGGAGCACUGCAACCUGAGGAUUGUG